GAAGAAGGCGGGGGGCGUGCUUAACACAUGCAAGUCGAACGGAAAGGCCCUGCUUUUGUGGGGUGCUCGAGUGGCGAACGGGUGAGUAACACGUGAGUAACCUGCCCUUGACUUUGGGAUAACUUCAGGAAACUGGGGCUAAUACCGGAUAGGAGCUCCUGCUGCAUGGUGGGGGUUGGAAAGUUUCGGCGGUUGGGGAUGGACUCGCGGCUUAUCAGCUUGUUGGUGGGGUAGUGGCUUACCAAGGCUUUGACGGGUAGCCGGCCUGAGAGGGUGAUCGGCCACAUUGGGACUGAGAUACGGCCCAGACUCCUACGGGAGGCAGCAGUGGGGAAUAUUGCACAAUGGGCGGAAGCCUGAUGCAGCAACGCCGCGUGCGGGAUGACGGCCUUCGGGUUGUAAACCGCUUUCGCCUGUGACGAAGCGUGAGUGACGGUAAUGGGUAAAGAAGCACCGGCUAACUACGUG
rnacentral:rRNA from 1 species